UACGUAGGGCGCAAGCGUUAUCCGGAAUUAUUGGGCGUAAAGAGCUCGUAGGCGGUCUGUCGCGUCUGCUGUGAAAACUCAGGGCUUAACCCUGAGCUUGCAGUGGGUACGGGCAGACUAGAGUGCGGUAGGGGAGACUGGAAUUCCUGGUGUAGCGGUGAAAUGCGCAGAUAUCAGGAGGAACACCGGUGGCGAAGGCGGGUCUCUGGGGCCGU
rnacentral:rRNA from 1 species